rnacentral:rRNA from 1 species
ACGACGCUGGCGGCGUGCCUAAUACAUGCAAGUCGAGCGGACCAAAGGGAGCUUGCUCCUGGAGGUCAGCGGCGAACGGGUGAGUAACACGUGGGCAACCUGCCUGUAAGACUGGGAUAACAUCGAGAAAUCGGUGCUAAUACCGGAUAAUAAAAAGAACUGCAUGGUUCUUUUUGAAAGAUGGUUUCGGCUAUCACUUACAGAUGGGCCCGCGACGCAUUAGCUAGUUGGUGAGGUAACGGCUCACCAAGGCAACGAUGCGUAGCCGACCUGAGAGGGUGAUCGGCCACACUGGGACUGAGACACGGCCCAGACUCCUACGGGAGGCAGCAGUAGGGAAUCUUCCGCAAUGGACGAAAGUCUGACGGAGCAACGCCGCGUGAGUGAUGAAGGUUUUCGGAUCGUAAAACUCUGUUGUUAGGGAAGAACAAGUGCCGUUCGAAAGGGCGGCACCUUGACGGUACCUAACGAGAAAGCCACGGCUAACUACGUG